CAAAAUCUUGAUGUUGAUUUUUAGCAAAAUUCAAGAAUGGAUUUUUGUACAGAGCGUAUGUGAAAACUUAGAAAAUAGUGAGCAUGAGAAACCAGAGUAUUUUCUCUAGAAAAUACUCUGGGCCUUAGUAAAUCAGAGGAUCACAGGUAUUGCAAAGAUGGAGGGUGUGUGGACACAGUGAGGUGACACUUGCCUUGCUUCCCUGGACAGUGCUGCCCAAGCUGGCCUUCCUCUUAGUUCUUUUUGUCAGGAUGGAUGUGCUUGGGCUCAUCUUCCCGCUGACCUUUAGCCCCAUAGUAUAAAUACUCUUGUGUUCUACUCACCAGAGCUCUCCCAGAAAACAGAAUGCUUGAGGGAGGCUCUGCUCUCCUCUCCAUCCUGGCUUCAAGAGCUGGAAAUGGAACUGGAGCACCAUAAGGUAGGAUGGAGCAGCUUUUGGAAGACUUGAAGGAGAAGCAACAGGAGAUCUUGCUUUUCCAGGAGGAAUAACUAACCCAGGCACAGAUGGAGGAGUCUGGACUGCCAGGAUGUGGCUUGUUGGGCUGCAGGAAUCUCCUUCACGAAGAGACACCUGGGAGCCUUGAAGACUGGUUAAGCCUGGGACCCAUCAGGCAGCCAUUCCAAAUGGGGAGUGAGCCUAGCCAGUUGAAAGGCAGAGCUGAGCAAUCUGGAAGCCUUGCAAGGACUGAUUCCAGCAUGCUGACUUGGGUGUCCUCAAUAAGAGACACCUGGGAGCCUUGAUUGCUGCAGAAGCCCUGAACUUCAGAGAAGGGUAAGUACACAUAUCUCUCACCCAUUUCAGUGGCUGCCUCAAAAGGACUCUUAAGGGUGGGC
rnacentral:lncRNA from 1 species